GAUGAACGCUAGCGGGAGGCUUAACACAUGCAAGUCGUGGGGCAGCAUUUGGUAGCAAUACUGAGAUGGCGACCGGCGCACGGGUGAGUAACGCGUAUGCAACCUACCCUGUACAGGGGGAUAGCCCGGAGAAAUUCGGAUUAAUACCCCAUAAUGAUAUUUGGAGGCAUCUUUGAAUAUUUAAAGUUCCGACGGUACAGGAUGGGCAUGCGUAACAUUAGCUAGUUGGCAGGGUAACGGCCUACCAAGGCAACGAUGUUUAGGGGUCCUGAGAGGGUGAUCCCCCA
rnacentral:rRNA from 1 species